GAUGAACGCUAGCUACAGGCUUAACACAUGCAAGUCGAGGGACCGGCGCACGGGUGAGUAACACGUCUCCAACCUGCCCUUUACUCGGGGAUAGCUUUUCGAAAGAAAGAUUAAUACCCGAUGUAAAGGAUGGGGAUGCGUUCCAUUUGGUUGUUGGUGAGGUAACGGCGCACCAAGCCUUCGAUGGUUAGGGGUUCUGAGAGGAAGGGACCCCACAUGGGAACUGAGGCACGGACCAAACUCGUAGGGGAGGCAGCAGUGAGGGAUAUUGGUCGAUGGGCGUUAGCGUGAACCAGCCAAGUAGAGUGAAGGAUGAAGGCUUAUGGGUCGUAAACUUCUUUUAUAUAAGGAUAUGUAUUAUAUGAAUAAGGAUCGGCUAACUCCGUGCCAGCAGCCGCGGUAAUAC
rnacentral:rRNA from 1 species